UGAUGGAGAGUUUGAUCCUGGCUCAGGACGAACGCUGGCGGCGUGCUUAACACAUGCAAGUCGAGCGGGGAGCUUCGGCUCUCAGCGGCGAACGGGUGAGUAACACGUGGGCAACCUGCCCCGAGCUCUGGAAUAACCUCGGGAAACCGGGGCUAAUGCCGGAUAUGACAUUGCCGGGCAUCUGGUGGUGUGGAAAGAUUUAUCGGCUCGGGAUGGGCCCGCGGCCUAUCAGCUUGUUGGUGGGGUGAUGGCCUACCAAGGCGACGACGGGUA
rnacentral:rRNA from 1 species